CCAGCAGCACCAGCGCGCCCCGCAUCACGUGGCGCCGCGGGGCCUGUCCCCCCGGCAGCGGCUGCUCCACGGCCACCGUGCAGCGCAGCUCCGCGUCCUCCAUCCUGCCACUGCCACCCCCGCCGCCGACACCGGCCGUUCAAACCGGCCGCGGGCAGCCGCCGCCAAUCAGCGCCAGGGGCUUUAACUCGGAGGCCAAUGGGAAGCGGGAAGGGAAUCGGUCCGAGGAAGGGGGAGAAGCACCAGCCGGACCAAUCAGCAGCCUCAUCGGGGACCACGUGAGGCGUUGCCAGGCUACGGGACGCUGCGCAGCCCCGGGGACCAUGGCCGCCCGCAGCGCGAAGGAACCGCUAGACCCGGUGCGGCUGAACCAGCUCCUGUGCGAGCGGGUGCGGAAGGAGCUGAAGUGCCAGCGGCUACACACGGAGUACGGCGUGAACCCGCUCCAACGAGUGAAGUAGCUGGGCCCAGACUGGGGAAUAACCAAAAAGAACAUCUGCAGUGACAGACAACCCAUACCUGGCUGUGAUGCUAUAUUCACAUUAAAGUAAUUCACCUGCACCAUUUCUCUCCAGUUCACACGAUUGCCAGGAAGCCUAUGUCAUGGCAUGAUAAUAUAGAAGAGCCAGCAGAUGAAAAGUUUCUGAAUCUUAUUCACCAUGCAGCACUGGAACCAACAAAGAAAUAUUCAGAGCCACAAACUGAAAGUCAAGAAAUUGGCUGGAACACAAAACCUUUGGCUCUACCAUAACGAAGCAGUGAACAGUAUAUUCUCAAAUAAGCAGUAUCCUGUUUGUCACUUGGGCAUUUCUGGGCAGCAAGAACACCAUGUAUCACUCUUCUCAAGAGGGACUACUACUAUCACUAAUUCUAGUAAAAGCAUGUGCCUAUUCAUCAUUUUUCUUUCCCAGGUCCCUAUGGACCGUACCGAUUGCAGAUUCUACUUCCCACGCCGGAAAACUGAGGUCACUAAAUAAAUGGCUGCCACGUGCAAUGGGGAGCAGCAGUCUGAGAACCUGCAGUAGUAGAGUGGCAAUGCCACACAACUUAGAUAGAAGCACUUAAUGACUUCUAACAUUUUAUGCCCUGCUUAUUAUUAGGUGAGUCUGGUACAUUUCUGGCAAGACAAAAUAGCGAGAAAAGGGAAGAAAGAACCUCAGUCUGUCCAGAGUUGCAGCCUGACAAUAGUUACAGAAAUAAACCUGUUUGUAAGA